rnacentral:ncRNA from 1 species
ACUGUGGACUACACAAGCAAUGCAAGUAGUAAUUUACAAAAGCAUGUAGGAAGAAGCAGUAA